AGGGUUCGAUUCUGGCUCAGGAUGAACGCUGGCGGCGUGCUUAACACAUGCAAGUCGAACGGGAUCGGCUGGAGCUUGCUCCGGCCGUGAGAGUGGCGAACGGGUGAGUAAUGCGUGACCGACCUGCCCCGUACACCGGAAUAGCUCCUGGAAACGGGUGGUAAUGCCGGAUGCUCCAAUGCGAUGCAUGUCGCGUUGGGAAAGAUUUCAUCGGUAUGGGAUGGGGUCGCGUCCUAUCAGGUAGUCGGCGGGGUAACGGCCCACCGAGCCUACGACGGGUAGCCGGCCUGAGAGGGCGACCGGCCACAUUGGGACUGAGAUACGGCCCAGACUCCUACGGGAGGCAGCAGUGGGGAAUAUUGCACAAUGGGCGCAAGCCUGAUGCAGCGACGCCGCGUGCGGGAUGGAGGCCUUCGGGUUGUAAACCGCUUUUGUCGGGGAGCAAGCCUUCGGGUGAGUGUACCCUUCGAAUAAGCACCGGCUAACUACGUGCCAGCAGCCGCGGUAAUACGUAGGGUGCAAGCGUUAUCCGGAAUUAUUGGGCGUAAAGAGCUCGUAGGCGGUUCGUCGCGUCCGGUGUGAAAGUCCAUCGCUUAACGGUGGAUCUGCGCCGGGUACGGGCGGGCUGGAGUGCGGUAGGGGAGACUGGAAUUCCCGGUGUAACGGUGGAAUGUGUAGAUAUCGGGAAGAACACCAAUGGCGAAGGCAGGUCUCUGGGCCGUUACUGACGCUGAGGAGCGAAAGCGUGGGGAGCGAACAGGAUUAGAUACCCUGGUAGUCCACGC
rnacentral:rRNA from 1 species